GGGCCAACUAUGAUGCUGAUAAUGGAACUCUCUUGAAAGGGUCCAUAGAUGUAUGACAUUUCUUAUGUAUACCUCACACCAAGGUGACUGUUGGAGAAAGUUAAAGAAUGUAAGUGGUUAGUUUGUACUUACAUAUCUGUGUCAUGAGAACAAUGGAGAGCAGGAAAGAAAGAGACCUUUUGCUGCCCCUGUCCCGGCUUUUCUUUCACUCAGUGAAACACCUGCUUACCUGCUGGCUUUGGGGACAUCAGGACCAAAGGAAUCUCCACAGUCACAUCACUAUCAGAAGAAGGAAGAAACGGUUUACCUUUUACUUGUGUAAAGUGUUAACGGCAAUAUCAAGAUGUUAUUUACCCUGAAUAUUUCUAUUAACCUGCAUGUAAGGCUUCCAAGUAUUCCACCACCGGACACCACAGCAGUUGCUUUGAUUGUGUAGGACACCAGAAUUCCCAAGAUGUCCUUAUCCAUGUCAGGUCGGAUGCUGCAUUGUGCAUGAGGAGAUCAAAUUAGUGUAUGAUGCCCAGAUAGGGAUCAACCCCUUUUGUUGUCCUUUUUAACAUUCUAGGAAUCACUCAGAGUUUGGCUGUCAGUAUGACUAAUGGACAGUUUGAAUCUCCACUUACAUGGUCGAUGAUGCCAGGUUUGUGUCCUCAUCCUUCAGUUUGCCAUCUAGUGCCAAACCGCGCUUCUCUGUGUUGUUGGCCAGCAGAGGGGUAACUCUGUAUUCCUUUUCAAGGGUGCACGAGGGAUCAACUUGGUCUCUGUUAGGAAAAUGUAUACUUGUACAUAAGUAAAAGUUUUAGCGCAAAAAAGAGGCCUAAUAUUAACUGCCUUGGACAUAAGAAAAGUGCAAGGGUUUCAUUUCGUGCUUAUCUUUGCAAAAGUAUGAACUUACCCGAAUUCCUCGCAUAGUACAACUUUAGUGUAUUUGUCAGCAGAAUACAGGACCACAUCUGUCGUUUGGUCAACUAGAUAUAAGAAAAUGCUGUGGAGUAAGUAUAUUGAUCUAAGAUUUUAAGAUUCUGUAAUUAAUUUAGGAUAGGUUCAUGUGUCAUUCAUGAUUCCAUAAUCAUUAUUAGUAUUAUAUAAUAAUCAUAUAUUUCUAAACUUACUUGAGAUUUUCACUUUCUUCACCACUUUAUUGCUAUCAUUGUUGAUUUUUACAGUAACUGGAAUGGGAUCUCCAUGGUAGUAAAGCUGAUUGAUGAACAGAAAAGAUCUUUAGUCAUAAGGAAAUCACUCGAGCUGUUUAUUUAAAAGAAUCUUUACUUUGGUAUAUACUGGCAUAUGUUUAAGGUGUUUCAAGGGAUGCUACGGUGUGAUUGUUUUUAAUCACUAACUAACUUUAUACCUCUUUCUCAGUUGAAGCCUCGAUCUGAAUUGGUUUCUCAGACAUUAUGAACUGUUUACUGAUGCUAGCUUUUGGACCAGCACCUAGUUUGUCUGGAGCAAACUGUAUCUUUCGGAUGAUCAAGCGGGUUGUAUCCCUAUAAACCAAUAAGCCCUUAACUUCAAAAUCAACACCACACGCCUGCAGAGACAGGUGAAGAGAUUAGAUUUGGGAUAUCAUAGAUGGAGUAUGACACAUAAGGAGGGAAAGAAUGCCUACCUUGCCAGCAUCGCCUGGUCCAGGUUGAAGGGUGACAGAGCAAGGUAGAUUUGUGGGAAGCUAGACAAAACGCACAGCUUUUAAUGGCGAUGUUUGUAAACCUGUGUGAGCUAUACUGUUCCUGUCAGCUAUAUCUUAAGUUUGUGCAAUGGUGACUCACAGCGAAAGUGAAUGGGUGUCCAUCUUCUCCAGACUUCCUCAGAAGUGCAUCUUGCACGUGUGUGUUAGCUGGCUUGGGUUCACUGGUCGGAGGGUACACCUGAAGGUGCUCAAUCCAGAUGUCUUUUCGGAAUGAUAAACCAAUCACAUCCAAAUCCUCGCGGCCAUAGCGAAAAGCACAGUUCUUGUUAAAGGAUGAGGCUUCUGGAUUGCCCGGACCGCUUGUGUUUCACUAAGCAGUGACGUGUAUUGAGGAAGGUUUAAAACAUUCAUUCAACCUUCAUUUAUUUUCGGAAGAGAAUACACUGCUGUGAAUGAACGAAGUGACUUUAGCCCUUCGAGUAUUCAUACUUGGAUAAACAUCAACUGCAUUGUUGGAAAAAGCCAUCUAAACCUACAUUUUAGUAUCUGGAGGAACUGAAUGAAGUUAUGCAGAGAAUCCAGACAAAAAUAAAUGACUGAUUGACUGAUUGAUUGAUUGAUUGAUUGAUUGAUUGAUUGAUUGAUUGAUUUAAUUACUUGCCUGCCAUACUGACCUAUGCGUAAAAGAAGUCCUAUUCUCCCAUUCCCCAAA